AAGAGAAUCGAACCUGAGACCGACUCCUUCAGUGAAACCCUACACGUUCGACCCCUUCCCCUCGCUCAGUCGCUCCCACCCCCGCCGCCGCAAUGCCUCUCCUCGCCCGCGGCGACAGCGCCCCACCGCCGAAUCCACCCCACCACCGGCCGCUUCUCACACCUCGACGGCCGGCCGCAUCUUCCACACCACCGACGGCGCAUCUCCACCUUCGCCACUCUUUAUUUCAUUCUCCCUCGUCCCUCCUCUCUGCCGCAGAGCUAGCUCUCAUUCUUCUGCAUUCCCUUUUCAGAUCCGUCCUCCUGCCGCCGCGGAGAAGGCGAAUGCGGCAGGGGCGGAUCAGCAGCAGGCCCCGGCCCCGGUGGCGGCGGAGGUGAAGAAGGUGGCGGAGGAGGACCCGCGGCUGCCGUCGCCGCCGCCACUCUUUGCCAUAAAACUUCUUGUCAGCGGCGAAAGCACAUCAAACCUCAACCCUCCCCACAACCAGGCAGCGGCAGUGCGAUGAGAUGGCCGACGACUUCACCGCCGGCGCAGGCGUCGGGGAUCGCAUCGAGGACGUCGUCCGUGCCGAGGGCAUCCACCCUCGUCCCUUGCCGGCCUACCUCAGCUCCGCUCGCGCCGAUCUGCCUGCGCCGGUGGCGGCGCCUUGCCCCCUUGUUCGAUCUCGGGGUAGGGAUGUCGUGGGAUGGUGUUUGGGUGCUGCUGCUAGAUCCGUUGCAGCUUAGCAGCAGCUAGUGUAUGACUAGCAAGAGGCUUCGAUUAUCAGUUUGUUUUUUCGUUCGUGAUGUUGUGGUCUAAAGUUUGUUUCCACAGAUGACAUGUAUCAGUGUUGUCAUUAGUGCGGCUUCAGUGUACCUGUGUUGCUUACUGAACAGUUUGUAUCUUGGUAUUUUUACUUGCUGCCUAUUCAAUCUGCCUUCCAUUGCGAAAAUUAUUAAUUCGGACAUGUAACUUUCAUACAGGAGAGAAGGCCAAAGCCAAAGAUCUCCACACUUAGAAAGAGUGUCAUCGUUCUUCUUGCUUUAGACAACAAAUAUUUGAAAGGAAGCUGUGCUUCAUUAAUUGAAAAGUACCAGCUCCAUAUUCUUCAGAAGAUGCUGAGGUUUGAUGAAAGCAGCAAUAAGGGGUUCAGAUCUUUUGUUGUUUUUGUGAGAAAUGAACAUGUGUAUGCAAAAUGUUGCCCUGCAUAGUUAUUUUCUCCCAAGUGAAUGCUAGAAAAUUUGCUUUUGUAGAUUUUGUACAUCUAUUUGUAUUAUCAACUUUAGUUGUGUGAAUGAUUCUUGUUAUAAUUGUUAAUAUAUUGUGAUAAAGUUAUUACAUGGAA